rnacentral:tRNA from 1 species
CCAUUGGUGGUUCAGCGGUAGACUUCUUGCCUUCCACAUAGGAGACCCAGGUUUGAUUCCUGGCCAGUGCA